rnacentral:lncRNA from 1 species
GGAGAGGGAGGAAAAGUGGAGCGCUCUUGCAAGCCAGAGCUAACACUUCAUGCACUCAUUUGGACAUUUCCAGGCAAAACAACAUAAUGUUGCUUCAGGGACCUCAGAAGGAUCAGCUGCAAGUCUCAGUUUAAGACAAGGACUGUGCUUGACCAGGCUUUCUGUCACAAAGCUGAACCAUCUGGUGAUAGAACAUUUGGUAAGCUGUGGAAUUCCAGCCGUGGGCAUUUCGACAUUUGGAACCUGGAAAACAGCAUCCAAGAAUGUCACUCAGGAUGGGAUUGAUGCGGUAAAAGAAGCUUUAGAUGCAGGUUAUGUGCCAGUUUUACAUGGAGAUUGUGCUCUGGAUUCAGAACAACAUUGCUGUGUCUUAUCUGGAGAUACCAUUAUUGAGGUUCUAGCUAAGAAGUUCUCUCCUAGGCGAGUUGUGUUUCUCACAGACGUGAAUGGAAUUUUUAGCUGUCCGCCUGACACACCAGGUGCUAAACUUCUAGAUCACAUUAUUAUUCAUCCUAAUGGAACUAUGGAACCACACAUUCUUACAUCUGUGCUUCCACAUGACACUACUGGAGGUAUAUCUAUGAAGUUACAAGCUUCUAUACACAUAGUUUCUCAGAGCCGUGGAGAUGUUCCCGUUCUCAUCUGCAAGCUGGACAGUGAUGCAGCUGAAAGGGCUUGCCUGACAGGGGAGUUGAUGGAAGGUGAAGGUACAAAGCUUUUCUUCAAGGAAGCAUGAAGGUAUCUCUGCAAGAACAUUAAAUUAAGCAAAAG